rnacentral:rRNA from 1 species
UACGUAGGGCGCGAGCGUUGUCCGGAAUUAUUGGGCGUAAAGAGCUCGUAGGCGGCCGGUUGCGUCUGCUGUGAAAUCCCGGGGCUUAACCCCGGGCGUGCAGUGGAUACGGGCCGGCUAGAGUCCGGAAGAGGAGAGUGGAAUUCCUGGUGUAGCGGUGAAAUGCGCAGAUAUCAGGAAGAACACCUAUGGCGAAGGCAGCUCUCUGGGACGGUACUGACGCUGAGACGCGAAAGCGUGGGGAGCGAACAGG